rnacentral:sRNA from 1 species
AGCUGCUGCCAUGGAGCCAGCCGGCCUAGAGCAGCUCCUACGGGAGCUGCUGCUACCGGACACCGAGCGCAUCCGUCGGGUACGAAGCAGGCGUAACCGGGCCAGGGCGAGCGGGAGGUUGCGGGAAAGGCCCGACUCUCACCCCUAGCUUCCCCCCAGGCCACGGAACAGCUUCAGAUCGUUCUUCGGGCCCCCGCCGCUUUGCCGGCUCUCUGCGACCUGCUAGCCUCGGCGGCCGACCCCCAGAUCCGCCAGUUUGCGGCCGUGCUGACCCGCAGACGACUGAACACCCGCUGGCGACGGCUGGCGGCGGAGCAACGGGAGAGCCUCAAGUCCCUGAUCCUGACGGCCCUGCAGAGAGAAACAGAGUAAGUAUCUACCCCUUUCUCUCGGGAUCUUGACGACUUUGGCUAGGUUUCUGCCUUCCCUUUCAGCUCCAGGCUGGGACUUGUAGGGCAGGGACUUCAGUUCUAGACGCAAGGUGGAGUGAGGAUUUUAAGGCUGUUUUGAAGACUAAAGUUCUUGAGAAAGGGUGAUGAUGAUCUGCCAAACCCAAGUCAGAAGAAUAAGACUGAAAUUCAGGCUAAGUUAGACUGAAGUUAUCAGAUUACAUGCCCGCAGUGCUGCUGGGUUCCCUC